CCUACGGGAGGCAGCAGUGGGGGAUAUUGCACAAUGGGGGGAACCCUGAUGCAGCGACGCCGCGUGGGUGAAGAAGCGCCUCGGCGCGUAAAGCCCUGUCAGCAGGGAAGAAAAUGACGGUAACUGAAGAAGAAGCCCCGGCUAACUACGGGCCAGCAGCCGAGGUAAUACGUAGGGGGCAAGCGUUAUCCGGUUUUACUGGGUGUAAAGGGGGCCCAGACGGCGAUGCAAGCCAGGAGUGAAAGCCCGGGGCUCAACCCCGGGACUGCGCUUGAAACUGCGUGGCUGGAGUGCAGGAGGGGCAGGCGGAAGUCCUGGUGUAGCGGUGAAAUGCGUAGAUAUCAGGAGGAACACCGGUGGCGAAGGCGGCCUGCUGGACUGCAACUGACGUUGAGGCCCGAAAGCGUGGGGAGCAAACAGGAUUAGAUACCCCUGUAGUC
rnacentral:rRNA from 1 species